UACAGAGGUCUCGAGCGUUGUUCGGAUUCAUUGGGCGUAAAGGGUGCGUAGGUGGCUAGGUAAGUCGGAUGUGAAAUCCCGGGGCUCAACCCCGGAACUGCAUUCGAUACUGCCUGGCUAGAGUACUGGAGAGGAGAUUGGAAUUUACGGUGUAGCAGUGAAAUGCGUAGAUAUCGGGAGGAACACCAGUGGCGAAGGCGACUAUCUGGGCUGCAACUGACGCUGAGGCGCGAAGGCUAGGGUAGCAAACAGG
rnacentral:rRNA from 1 species